UACGUAGGGUGCAAGCGUUGUCCGGAAUUAUUGGGCGUAAAGAGCUCGUAGGCGGUUCGUCGCGUCGGCUGUGAAAACCCGGAGCUCAACUCCGGGCCUGCAGUCGAUACGGGCGGACUCGAGUUCGGCAGGGGAGACUGGAAUCCCUGGUGUAGCGGUGAAAUGCGCAGAUAUCAGGAGGAACACCGGUGGCGAAGGCGGGUCUCUGGGCCGAUACUGACGCUGAGGAGCGAAAGCGUGGGGAGCGAACAGG
rnacentral:rRNA from 1 species